AGAGCAGCCGUCUCUUUUCUCUGCAGGCUGACGGAGGAAGCCAGAACCUAUAAUCGGCAGGAAACAAGAACCAGGCUCUGCGUUGUUUGCAGAAGAGAAAGCUAGUGGAGCGUCGCAUUACGGAGCUGCAGAACAAGCAGGACAACAUACAGGGAAUCUUGGAGAGGAUAUCGGCUGCCAAAACAGACCGCAAGGUUGUCUCUGCGUACCAGAUGGGAGUCUCUGCUCUUAAACAGGCCCUAAAAGAUGUCACUUUGGAGAAGGCAGAAAGUAUUGUGGAUUAGAUUCAAGAGGUAAUAAUGGCUAAGGCUAAAAGGGGAAUUGUCUGUGCCUUUUGUAUGAAGACAUCAUUAUACUGUAAUACCUCCCAGCUAGGAUUGCCACCUCACCUCUUUAAAACAUAUGGAAUCCACAACCUGCAU